GUGCCAGCAGCCGCGGUAAUACGGAAGGUCCGGGCGUUAUCCGGAUUUAUUGGGUUUAAAGGGAGCGCAGGCUGAUGAUUAAGCGUGACGUGAAAUGUAGCCGCUCAACGGCUGAACUGCGUCGCGAACUGGUUAUCUUGAGUGAGUUCGAUGUUGGCGGAAUUCGUGGUGUAGCGGUGAAAUGCUUAGAUAUCACGAAGAACUCCGAUUGCGAAGGCAGCCAACAAGGCCCUUUACUGACGCUAAAGCUCGAAGGUGCGGGUAUCGAACAGGAUUAGAUACCCUGGUAGUCCGCACGGUAAACGAUGGAUGCCCGCUGUUUGCGAUAUACCGUGAGCGGCCAAGAGAAAUCGUUAAGCAUCCCACCUGGGGAGUACGCCGGCAACGGUGAAACUCAAAGGAAUUGACGGGGGCCCGCACAAGCGGAGGAACAUGUGGUUUAAUUCGAUGAUACGCGAGGAACCUUACCCGGGCUUGAACUGCCAGUGAACGAUACAGAGAUGUUGAGGCCCUUCGGGGCACUGGUGGAGGUGCUGCAUGGUUGUCGUCAGCUCGUGCCGUGAGGUGUCGGCUUAAGUGCCAUAACGAGCGCAACCCUUUUCAUUAGUUGCCAUCAGGUAAAGCCGGGCACUCUGGUGAUACUGCCACCGUAAGGUGUGAGGAAGGUGGGGAUGACGUCAAAUCAGCACGGCCCUUACGUCCGGGGCUACACACGUGUUACAAUGGGUGGUACAGAGAGUCGGAUCAACGCAAGUUGUUUCUAAUCCUAAAAGCCAUCCUCAGUUCGGAUUGGGUCUGCAACCCGACCCCAUGAAGCUGGAUUCGCUAGUAAUCGCGCAUCAGCCAUGGCGCGGUGAAUACGUUCCCGGGCCUUGUACACACCGCCCGU
rnacentral:rRNA from 1 species